rnacentral:rRNA from 1 species
GAUGAACGCUGGCGGCGUGCCUAAUACAUGCAAGUCGAGCGAACGGACGAGAAGCUUGCUUUUCUGAUGUUAGCGGCGGACGGGUGAGUCACACGUGGAUAACCUACCUAUAAGACUGGGAUAACUUCGGGAAACCGGAGCUAAUACCGGAUAAUAUUUUGAACCGCAUGGUUCAAAAGUGAAAGACGGUCUUGCUGUCACUUAUAGAUGGAUCCGGGCUGCAUUAGCUAGUUGGUAAGGUAACGGCUUACCAAGGCAACGAUGCAUAGCCGACCUGAGAGGGUGAUCGGCCACACUGGAACUGAGACACGGUCCAGACUCCUACGGGAGGCAGCAGUAGGGAAUCUUCGGCAAUGGGCGAAAGCCUGACGGAGCAACGCCGCGUGAGUGAUGAAGGUCUUCGGAUCGUAAAACUCUGUUAUUAGGGAAGAACAUAUGUGUAAGUAACUGUGCACAUCUUGACGGUACCUAAUCAGAAAGCCACGGCUAACUACGUG